AAGGCAAGAGGAUUCUGCGGCAGAAAUAAGAAAUUAGAAAGAAAAAAAAAGUAGUCGCACACGAUCUCCAGAUUAGAGGAGAACUGCCCGGGCACGAUCUCAACACUCACUCCUCUUUCAAUUUACAGUUCUUGCAAACGUAGAAAACAAACACAGAAAGAAGAACAUAGCGGAAUCAAACCCAGAAGGAGGAGAAAGAGAAAGAAACAAAUUGGUUGCCAGGGCACAUGAGGCAGCCUAUACACAGAAAGAAGAACAGAGCGGAAUCAAACCCAGAAGGAGGAGAAAGAGAAAGAAACAAAUUGGCUGCCAGUUUGCAGACUUGAUAAUUCCCAUUGGGAGUAAUUGUGAAGUUUGCUGUGAUCCUUGGAUAAUUGAUUUCAAGUGAAGGAAAAUAAUCUCAGUGGUCAACCAAAACAGUCACAUUAUUUGGGUUCUCAUUAUCACAGAGGUACAGCUGGAGGUCCAGACUUGAAAAGUUUUAUUGUCCAAUUUCCUGUGUCCCGAGAAGGUAGUUCAGUUAAAGGAAAAUAAGAUAAAUCUCGCUUAAGGGGGUUUUGUUUUGAGUCUCUCUGUGUUAGAUUGUGUGAUCUUCAUUCAAUAGCAAUGCUAUCAAACUAUUGCUUUAAAGCUGUAGGUCCAGACUUGAAAAGUUUCCUUGUCCAAUUUCCUGUGUCCCGAGAAGGAAGUUUAGUUAAAGGAAAAUAAAGGUAAAUCUUGCUUAAGUGGUGUAAACACGAAAAAUCCUGCAACGAAUGAAAGAAGGACACGUGUACAAAAUAAUAUAUUUUUAUUAAUGAAUUUGCGGGUUACAAUC